GGGGCUGGCAUGGUGCACGGACCGCCUCCAAAGUGGAUUCCGUGGGGGUUCGAGUCCCCCCAGCUCCA
rnacentral:tRNA from 1 species